rnacentral:ncRNA from 1 species
CUGCACGGCACGGGAGACUCUGUCGCAGGACAGGGCCGAAGGAGCAACCGCCCCGGUAAACUCUCAGGCGAACGGACCUGGCGUGCGA